AAACUUUGCAGCGCACUGGCCCUCCAGGGCAAGAUUUGAGGAACCCUGUCAUAGGCCUACCCACUCAUUAAACUAUGACAGCUGGGAAAAUACAUUCAUUUGACUAGAAACACCAGAGACCGGAAAUGUAAAGCAUCGUACCAGUAUGAGUCGGGCGAGACUUCCACGUUCAGGAAAAAGUUUACAGGCUCAUUCCUGGACACUGCCAAAACAUCAUGAUCCCAGCUGCUCUGCCACUUCAUACAGAGAUUCAAAAGAUUCUGAAAAAACAACAUCACGAUCUUCAGUAAAGAAAAAAAAAGUUCAGGCUGUGUGUGAGUUUCAUCUUUGCACUGGUAUGUUUGGAUUUCUCUAAAGGUGAAGAUACACAGGGCAAUGUUGCUUGGGCAAUUUCUCAUUGAGAAUGGUCUAGAUCGGUCGUAGGCCCUCUGUCUCACCUGUUUGCCUGUUAACGGCAAAAUUGCCCAGCAAUAAUGCUCAAAAAGUUGCCCCAUUUAUCAUCACCUUUAUUAGUCUUUUCUCGGUUGCUGGCAGACCGGAAAUUACAGCA